rnacentral:rRNA from 1 species
CCUACGGGAGGCAGCAGUGGGGAAUAUUGGUCAAUGGGCGAGAGCCUGAACCAGCCAAGUCGCGUGAGGGAAGACGGUCCUACGGAUUGUAAACCUCUUUUGUAAGGGAGCAAGGAGCGACACGAGUGGUGCGGCGAGAGUACCAGAAGAAAAAGCAUCGGCUAACUCCGUGCCAGCAGCCGCGGUAAUACGGAGGAUGCGAGCGUUAUCCGGAUUUAUUGGGUUUAAAGGGUGCGCAGGCGGAAGCGGCAAGUCAGCGGGAAAAAUGCGGGGCCAAACCUCGCCGAGCCGUUGAAACUGCUCUUCUAGAGUGGGCGAGAGGUAGGCGGAAUGCGUGGGGUAGCGGUGAAAUGCGUAGAUAUCACGCAGAACUCCGAUUGCGAAGGCAGCAUACCGGCGCCCAACUGACGCUCAGGCACGAAAGCGUGGGGAUCGAACAGGAUUAGAUACCCGAGUAGUC